rnacentral:tRNA from 1 species
GCGUCAGUGGUGGAACGGUAGACACGCUACCUUGAGGGGGUAGUGCCUUACGGGUGUGGAGGUUCAAAUCCUCUCUGACGCA